rnacentral:ncRNA from 1 species
UAGACAAUAUCCUAUUCCAAAAACAUCUUCAAGCUGGUCAUAUCAAAUGUAUUCUUAGUCCUUGGAAUACUUCAAUUUUUGUGGUAAAGAAAACAUCUGGCUAACAGAGAUUGUUACAAGAUCUCAGAGCUAUUAACUGUACUAUGAAACCAAUGGGAGCCUUACAGUCUGGGUUUCCUUCUUCUACAGCUAUCCCUCUUGAUUAUCAAUUAAUAGUAAUAGAUUUGAAAGAUUGCUUUCUCACUAUACCAUUGCAUCCAGAUGAUCGUAAUAGACUUGCUUUUAG